rnacentral:sRNA from 1 species
UGUGGGAUGCCGAAGUCGGGUCCCGCGACCAGACACUUGCUGAUUAUUCAGGAGAUGCGCCAUGAGC